rnacentral:rRNA from 1 species
UACGGAGGGAGCUAGCGUUGUUCGGAAUUACUGGGCGUAAAGCGCACGUAGGCGGCUUUGUAAGUUAGAGGUGAAAGCCCGGAGCUCAACUCCAGAACUGCCUUUGAUACUGAAGAUCUUGAGUUCGGGAGAGGUGAGUGGAACUGCGAGUGUAGAGGUGAAAUUCGUAGAUAUUCGCAAGAACACCAGUGGCGAAGGCGGCUCACUGGACCGGCAUUGACGCUGAGGUGCGAAAGCGUGGGGAGCAACAGG